rnacentral:lncRNA from 1 species
UUGCUGGUUCUCAUCUUGUAUCCAGGUGAGGCUGGAACUAGGCUCACCACGUGGACAGGCGUGAUCUGUGUACAUAUGAGCCAACACGUUUAGACGACUGGAUGCCUCCUCCACGUCUUCUUCUCUUGCCUGCCAACUGGGAGAAAACCGAAGAAGACUCCAGGAUCCUGGGAGAUACACCAGCAUGAGCACAAAGAGAAGGUAUUAUUGUGCAUUUCAGACCAGCACUGGGAUUAAAAAUGAUGAAUGAGAUUGCUGACCAGGGGAUCCAGAGAGACAACAUUCCUGCUGGAUGCCGUAUGAUGAAUCCCUAGUUUUGGCCUCUGCUGAGAUCCUGUGGCUGGCCUCUGGCCCCAGAUUAAGCUCCUAUAGGACUUUUGUUUUCA